rnacentral:tRNA from 1 species
GCGACCGUGGCGAAGUGGUUAACGCAUCGGGUUGUGGUCCCGACAUUCGAGGGUUCGAUUCCCUUCGGUCGCCCCA